GGAGAGGUGACCGGGUGGCUGAAGGUGCGCGCCUGCUAAGCGUGUGUGGGUGUCAAACGGGUACCCAGGGUUCAAAUCCCUGCCUCUCCG
rnacentral:tRNA from 1 species